rnacentral:lncRNA from 1 species
UGAAUAUUCUAUGCGAGCAUAUCACAUAUAUGCACAAAAAAUUGAUUCCACAUCACGUGUGGUUGUAAAUGACAACACUGUGUUAGAAUUACACUGAACAAUCUCCUAAAUUGGUUUGAUUGUAAUAUUUUUAAGUUAUUUUCAUCCUAAGUGGAUUCGGGUUUAGAUUCAUCUUUUCUUUUAAUUUUUAUUGUUGGAGUCUUAGGGCCACUAACGAUUAUCCUCCAUAGUUUGUAAUCUACGGAUUGUACAUAGAUUCUCAUUCUAUUUUUCAAAUAGUUAUAAUUUGUUCCAUUAAAACAAGGUUGUCUAUUUGUGGAUUGACCUUCACUAAGUGAGUUGCCGAAGUUGGUUGCCAUAGAUCUAUUCCUAGGAUGUUAAGCCUAAUAAGAAUACUAGCUCUGAUACCAAUUGUUGGUC